rnacentral:rRNA from 1 species
UGAACGCUGGCGGUAUGCUUUACACAUGCAAGUCGUACGGGAGUUUUUAACUCAAGUGGCGGACGGGUGAGUAACACGUAAGAAUUUACCUUUAGGAGGGGGACAACAACUGGAAACGGUUGCUAAUACCCCAUAUGCUUUCGAGUGAAAUGGAUUUAUAUUUAUCCGCCUAGAGAGAAGCUCGCGGCUGAUUAGCUUGUUGGUAAGGUAAGAGCUUACCAAGGCGACGAUCAGUAUCUGGUUUGAGAGGACGAUCAGACACACUGGAACUGAGACACGGUCCAGACUCCUACGGGAGGCAGCAGUGGGGAAUUUUCCGCAAUGGGCGAAAGCCUGACGGAGCAAUACCGCGUGAGGGAUGACGGCCUAUGGGUUGUAAACCUCUUUUUUCAGGGAGGAAUCAAUGACGUGUACCUGAAGAAUAAGCAUCGGCUAACUCC